CGGAUUAGAUACCCUGGUAGUCUUGGCUGUAAACGGUGCGCAUUUGCUGUAAACGGAAUCGACCCCGUUUGUGGCGAAGCUAACGCGAUAAAUGCGCCGCCUGGGAAGUACGGUCGCAAGAUUAAAACUCAAAGAAAUUGACGGGGGCCUGCACAAGCGGUGGAGUAUGUGGCUUAAUUCGAUGCAACGCGAAGAACCUUACCUGGCCUUGACAUGCAAGUGGUAGAACCAUGAAAGUGGGACGACCCCGCAAGGGGAGCUUGCACAGGUGCUGCAUGGCUGUCGUCAGCUCGUGUCGUGAGAUGUUGGGUUAAGUCCCGCAACGAGCGCAACCCUUGUGUCCUGUUGCCACUCCCUCGAGAGAGGGAAGCACUCUGGACAGACUGCCUCGCUUAAACGAGGAGGAAGGUGGGGAUGACGUCAAGUCAGUAUGGCCCUUACGGCCAGGGCUGCACACGUACUACAAUGCAUGGCACAAAGGGAAGCUAGACCGUCAGGUGGAGCAAAUCCCAAAAAACCAUGCCCAGUUCAGAUUGUCGUCUGCAACUCGACGACAUGAAGCCGGAAUCGCUAGUAAUGGCGCAUCAGCUACGGCGCCGUGAAUACGUUCCCAGGCCUUGUACACACCGCCCGUCACAUCAUGAAAGCCGGUUGUACCCGAAGUCCACUCUGUUAACCGCAAGGAGACAGUGGCCGAAGGUAUGGCUGGUGAUUGGGAUGAAGUCGUAACAAG
rnacentral:rRNA from 1 species